UUAUAUCAGUUAUGGUUCCUUAGAUUGUUAACAGUUACUUGGAUAACUGUGGUAAUUCUAGAGCUAAUACAUGCAAUUAUAAACACGGACCACAGUAGUAAUAUUGUGGGACGUGUGCUUUUAUUAGACAAAAACCAAGCGAUCGUUGAUUCGUAGUCAUCGAUUGUUAAAAUUUGGUUGAACUCUAGAUAACUUGCUGAUCGUAUGGUCUCGUACCGACGACAGAUCUUUCAAAUGUCUGCCCUAUCAACUUUUGAUGGUAGUAUAUAGGACUACCAUGGUUGCUACGGGUAACGGGGAAUCAGGGUUCGAUUCCGGAGAGGGAGCCUGAGAAACGGCUACCNCNUCUAAGGAAGGCAGCAGGCGCGUAAAUUACCCACUCCCNNCUCGGGGNNAUAGUGACGAAAAAUAACAAUACAGGACUCAUUUUAGAGGCAUUGUAAUUGGAAUGAGUACACUUUAAAUCCUUUAACAAGGACCUAUUGGAGGGCAAGCCUAGUGCCAGCAGCCGCGGUAACUCUAGCUCCAAUAGCGUAUAUUAAAGUUGUUGCGGUUAAAACGUUCGUAGUUGAAUUUGUGCUUCAUACAGUUAGUAUCGAUUAUAAAUGUAGUCGAUUACAAACUUGACGUAUGUAAGCGUAUUACCGGUGGGAGGUCAAUAUUUGUAUAUUUGUGUUGGAAGCGGUGUGGCGGUCGUCCUCGUUGUUGCGAAUGCCUUGUCAUUUCGAUGGCAUUGCAUCCCGUAAUCUCGCUGUGGCGUCGUCACCCAUCUAACCGGUGUGCAGAUAUACUCCUAAUUUUCUUUUUUUAUAAAAAGAAAAAGAAAAACCCAUUUCGGUGCUCUUUAUCGGGUGUUGAUGUGGGCCGGUACAAUUACUUUGAACAAAUUAGAGUGCUUCAAGCAGGCUAUGAAAUGCCUGAAUAUUUUGUGCAUGGAAUAAUGAAAUAAGACCUCUGUUCUACUUUCAUUGGUUUUUAGAUCGAAAGAGGUAAUGAUUAAUAGAAGCAGUUUGGGGGCAUUAGUAUUACGACGCGAGAGGUGAAAUUCUUGGACCGUCGUAAGACUAACUUAAGCGAAAGCAUUUGCCAAAGAUGUUUUCAUUAAUCAAGAACGAAAGUUAGAGGUUCGAAGGCGAUCAGAUACCGCCCUAGUUCUAACCAUAAACGAUGCCAGCUAGCAAUUGGGUGUAGCUAAGAUUAUGGCUCUCUCAG
rnacentral:rRNA from 1 species